UUCACCUGCUCUGCUUCUGCUUGCACAAAAAGGAAGCGCACACAGAGACUUGGCAGCGGAGGCUUUUAAUGAGGGCCGAAGAGGAGGCAAGGAAAUAGAAAUAUGAUUCAGAGCAGAGGCCAUCACGUGGGCUCGAACGUAAAUACGCAUGGACCCAUCUCCACGUGGGGUCCGUCCCACCGAUCUUUCCAUGUCAUCUACCUCCUCCGUUUAAGAUAGGGAUAACAAAAAUAAAAGAAAACAAGAUGAUUUCCUCUUCGUCGAAGUCAACAACAAGAAAUGAGAAGGGAACAACUUUGCUGACGUGUGAGAUAACGGCAUACGGUUACCAGAAACUAAGCUUAUAAAUUUGAGAGGGAUGAUCAAUGACGGAAGCAAACUGAAGAUUAAUUAAAGUGGUAGGCGUGUGACGCUAUGGCGUAGAUGAGAAAAAGAAAAGAGAAAUUGGUAGCAGAGCAGUUUGCAUUUUGCGGCGUUUGUAGGAAGAGUACACUAGUGUUGUCAUCAUCAUCACUUCCCUUUCCUUAACAACACAUAAAAAGUUAAAAAUAAAGAAAGAUUUUUGGCAGAGAAAAUUGUACAAUUGUUGAUUUGCAUCAAAAUGCGAACUUUGCUCAACCUAA